GUAACGCCGCGUGGAGGAUGAAGGCCCUCGGGUUGUAAACUCCUGUCAGAAGGAAUGAAGGUUAGCAGAAGAUAACGCUGUCUAAUCUGACAGUACCUUCAAAGGAAGCCCCGGCUAAUUCCGUGCCAGCAGCCUCGGUAGUACGGAAGGGGCAAGCGUUGUUCGGAAUUAUUGGGCGUAAAGGGCGCGUAGGUGGUCCUAUAUGUCUGCUGUGAAAGGGUACGGCUCAACCGUGCUUGGUCGGUGGAAACUGUAGGACUUGAGGCUGGGAGGGGCUAGUGGAAUUCCCCGUGUAGCGGUGAAAUGCGUAGAGAUGGGGGAGAACACUCGUGGCGAAGGCGGCUAGCUGGACCAGUCCUGACACUGAUGCGCGACAGCGUGGGGAGCAAACAGGAUUAGAUACCCUGGUAGUCCACGCCGUAAACGAUGGGCACUAGGUGCCGGCGGUCAUUAUCCCGUCGGUGCCGGCGCUAACGCAGUAAGUGCCCCGCCUGGGGAGUACGGUCGCAAGGCUG
rnacentral:rRNA from 1 species